GGGGGCGAUGUGGGUUCGACGGGGGUGGGAAGUCAAAGUGGCAUGCCGGGGUUCUGUUAUCCCGUUAAACAAACAGAUCUGCAAAUUUAAACGCAGACAAUUUUGAAUACGCCCUAGCUGCCUAACCGCAGUUAGCGUCUUACCGGCUUUCUCCCACGGGGUUGGAUAAGGCGUCAUUUAGUGGGAUGGGCUGAUUCUCCUGCCGGAGGGGAUGAGGCCGAGAUCCAAACCGGCUGGCUCCGAGAGACCCUGCCGCUGGGGGCUCGAUGAGCGAGAUCAAAACAUCGGCUAAGCAUGUAGUCAUUUUUGGCGGAAGACCUUCGGACGGGGGUUCGAUUCCCCCCGCCUCCAGUA
rnacentral:tmRNA from 1 species